UCAGCUCCUGGGCUUUUCUUUGUUGGCAGAUUUUGGAUCAUUGAUUCAAUCUCUUUGCUAGUUAUAUGUCUGUUCAUAUUUUCUAUUUCUUCGUGGUUUAGUCUUGGUAGGUGGUAUAUGUCUAGGAAUUUAUCCAUUUUGUCUAGGUUGUCCAAUUUUUUGGCAUACAAAUAUUCAUACUAUUGUCUUAUUAAUAUAAUCAUUUUAUUUCUGUUAAAUCGGUGGUAAUGUCUAGACUUACAUUUCUGAUUUUAGUUAUUGAGUCUUCCCUCUUUUAUCUUACUCAAUCUAACUAAUUGUUCAUUAAUUUUGGUGAUUUUUUCAAAGAACUGAACUUGGUUUUGCUAACUUACUCUACCAUGUUCCUAUUCUUUAUUUCAGUUGUUGAUUUGUUUCUCAGAUUGGUUUCUUAUUGUUCGUGUACAGGAAUGCUGG
rnacentral:lncRNA from 1 species